rnacentral:tRNA from 1 species
CAGCCCGGUUUGUUGGCUAGAGCGCUUCCCUUACAAGGAAGAUGUCAUCGGUUCGAGUCCGGUUGGGCCCACCA